GGCCCUCCGGCUGAGCCCUGAUCUCUAUGGUUUCCGCGGCUCGCUAGAAGGAGUGUGGUCCACUGGUGGACUCCCUACAUUCUUCCUCCAUUACCGCACUGCCUCCGGUGGCUGCUGGGAUACCGGAGGACUCGGGUCCCGGCUCGACUCAGUCUUCCAGCCGCCCGGGGAAUACCUCUAGUUCUUCCCGGCCGCCGCCGCCUCCGCCCCGCCGCUUCCUCCUCCGCCGCCGGCCUCCUUCGCCCCGCCCGUCCGCGCAGCGCGUCCGGCCCGCCCGCAGGCCAGCUUCUCUCGGGAGCCCCCACCCAGGCUCAUGGCUCCAUGAAGCAAGAGGAGGAGGCAGAGCGCGAGAGGUCCGUCCGCCCCAGCCGCGUCUGGGCCAGGAGAAAAGCAAAACCAUAUUCCUGCUGCUGUCAGUUAUGAUGCACUGAGAAAACUUCAGAGACCUAAGCUUUUUCCAGAGAAGAGAAGCUUUACUGGUGUUCCAGCCCUAAGAAACUUAAAUCCUCAGUGUGACACAACUCAGUCCUUCUACUGCAGCAGCUCUUUUAUAAAAGCCUCCCAAAGCUCCAAGAAGGAACAAAGAAUGUGACCCAGUAAGCUCACACCAUAAGUCUAUAUUGCAGAAACCUUUGUUCAACAAAACUGCAGAUGCUCUGUUGAAUCCACUGGAGAUUGUCCUCAUACUAAGGACAACAACCAUCUUUCCUGUGAAAAAUUCCCUCUCCUAGUACUUUAGUUCUGUGGAUCCAAAAUUUAUAGCAUUCUUCUACCACCACAGGGGCUCAUAUGACAUUAACAGACAAGACACUUUUCAGAAAGACAG
rnacentral:antisense_RNA from 1 species